rnacentral:lncRNA from 1 species
AUGCAGCUGGAGGGACUGGGGCACAGAGAGUGGCUGGAGUGGCCCUAGAGGAGAUUCUGGAAGAGCCAGAGCUGCUAAGAGAGGAUGGUAGUAGGGGGUUGGGCGGGGGGGGCGGGGGACACUCCCAUUAGCAGGUGGUUGAAGGCUUCACCUGAAGCAUGAUUUCCUGGGACAUGGCCAAAGCAGGAGCAGCAUCUGAAAGAGGAUGGGCAGAGGGUGGUCAGAAUGAUCUGAGAUAGGCCAGGUGAAGGGUAGCCAGAAUGAUGGCCUCUGCAGGCCUGGUACAAAGGGUUGGGUUGGAAUUAUCAACUCUAUGGCUACUCACAGCCAGACCCAGAGGCCCCGUGCACUCCUCCUCCCCGAGGUCCGGGCACAGGGCUUGUUCUUUCCCCACCCAGGCUGGUCUAGAGAAAGAAAAGGA